ACGACUCUGGUAUUGAUUGGUGCUUGCAUCAUGAUUUACAUUUGAGUGAGUGGCGAACUGGUGAGUAACACGUGGGAAACCUGCCCAGAAGCGGGGGAUAACACCUGGAAACAGAUGCUAAUACCGCAUAACAACUUGGACCGCAUGGUCCGAGUUUGAAAGAUGGCUUCGGCUAUCACUUUUGGAUGGUCCCGCGGCGUAUUAGCUAGAUGGUGGGGUAACGGCUCACCAUGGCAAUGAUACGUAGCCGACCUGAGAGGGUAAUCGGCCACAUUGGGACUGAGACACGGCCCAAACUCCUACGGGAGGCAGCAGUAGGGAAUCUUCCACAAUGGACGAAAGUCUGAUGGAGCAACGCCGCGUGAGUGAAGAAGGGUUUCGGCUCGUAAAACUCUGUUGUUAAAGAAGAACAUAUCUGAGAGUAACUGUUCAGGUAUUGACGGUAUUUAACCAGAAAGCCACGGCUAACUACGUGCCAGCAGCCGCGGUAAUACGUAGGUGGCAAGCGUUGUCCGGAUUUAUUGGGCGUAAAGCGAGCGCAGGCGGUUUUUUAAGUCUGAUGUGAAAGCCUUCGGCUCAACCGAAGAAGUGCAUCGGAAACUGGGAAACUUGAGUGCAGAAGAGGACAGUGGAACUCCAUGUGUAGCGGUGAAAUGC
rnacentral:rRNA from 1 species